CCCUUGCAUAACAUUUGAACUGUUUAAGGUAGACCCUUGUGUGAGGUAUCAUUGAACUCAGAAGAGAGUUCCUUUUUAAUUGGUAAUGGUUUGACCCACCCCCUAUAAUGUAGCCACGCCCCUUUUCACAGCUAAUGAACUGUAUGACGUGGAGUCUUGCGUGAGGUAUCGUUGAACUCGGCAGGGAGUUCCCUUUUCAUUGGUGACGAUUUGCAGUGUCUGAAUGCCGCGGAAAU